AUACGUAGGGGGCGAGCGUUGUCCGGAAUGAUUGGGCGUAAAGGGCGCGUAGGCGGCGCGGUAAGUCUGGAGUGAAAGUCCUGCUUUCAAGGUGGGAAUUGCUUUGGAUACUGCCGCGCUUGAGUGCAGGAGAGGUUAUCGGAAUUCCCGGUGUAGCGGUGAAAUGCGUAGAGAUCGGGAGGAACACCAGUGGCGAAGGCGGGUAACUGGACUGCAACUGACGCUGAGGCGCGAAAGCGUGGGUAGCGAACAGGAUUAGAUACCCUGGUAGCCCACGCCGUAAACGAUGGAUACUAGGUGUAGGAGGUAUCGACCCCUUCUGUGCCGGAGGUAACACAAUAAGUAUCCCACCUGGGGAGUACGGCCGCAAGGUGGAAACUCUAAGGAAUUGACGGGG
rnacentral:rRNA from 1 species